GACAUUUCACAAGUUGCUUUUUCUGUUGAGGAACUGGGUGCGUUGAGUUCUAACUGGUUAAAGCUCUCAAGUGUUUGGUUGGUGAGGGUGGUAGCAAGAGCUCCCAAACCUGUAAGGAUGGUGAAAUCUGUGCCACUAUUGCCAUAAAAAGGGGAUGGAGAGGAAAGAUAUUCAAAGUGUGUGCCGCCCUCCCUUUUCAGUGUAGGAAACCACACACUUUCACUCAAUAUUGGUGUUGGCUCUGUGACUGCAGCUGUUCAUAUGUGUAACACAGAUGGCUGCAACAGUGAAGACAUACUGUUCCCUGAUGUUCAGGAGAAAAACAACCUGAAGUGUUUCACCUGUGAUGAUAAAUCGCCUGGUGUGUGUAACAAGACAGUACAGUGUGUGGGAGUGCAGGACCGCUACAUUAAUGGAAUUAAUG